GGGACUCCACGACUACUGUUUGACAUUCCGAAGAUGCUAAUGUUGGGCGAAAAAUGAGUGCCCAUAAUUGGUAUGCUUGACUAACAGACGAACAAAGAGCAGAACACUUACAUAAGCUGCGGUUGGCUCGCCUGCAAAAAAAAGCUGUAGCUGACAGUGUUACUGUCGAAUUACCUCACAGCUCGUACUCGCGAUCUUCACCUGGUUCAGCCAUUACGGUACAAAUCUCCGAGGGUACUUGUCUUCCCGUGGCACGGCACAAAGCGACAACUACAACCGGCGCUGCGAGUGUCAAACAGCGCCAACCAUCUGCCGGGGAAGCGUCACCUGGUCAGAGCGCCAACAUUUGUUUUCAGUUCAUACUUGCAAUGUCACAUAAAUUGUGGACUGAAGCUGGAAUGCUUAUCAUCCCACAAGUUUCUACAUCAACUGUAGAUAUCACACAUUAUGGAUUGACACAUUCCAGUAUCACCCGUCUGGGACACACGCUGGUUGGAGAGCCAAAGACAAAGGAGGACGAUUUUAAUGAUUGGUUGCACAGGAAUCCAACUUACGUACGGGGAGCGAGGUCGUCUGAACACAAUAGUAACAUCUUACGGACUGGAUCAAGGUCGGCUGUACACAAUAGUAACGUCUUACAGGCAGGAGGAGAGCACGGACAACAUGACUUUGUGCCCACGAGUUUUAUCUUCAGUCCGUCCAUUGAACCACAAGAUUCAGCUGCCCGCUACGAGAAGGAGCGCAUUCGUAAGAGAACGAAUUACUCAGAAAUGAGCACGGACCAAAGAGAUGCCUUAUUAUAUCGGGUUCGCGAGUACAAGAAAAGAAAGUGGACGACUUGUGCCUCAUC